CCUGACAACUCAGCCUCCACAAUGCAAAAACUCUCUCUGGCCUCGAAUGGGACGCCUGCUGUCGACUCCUCCGAGGUGGCCAUGGCGAUGGCGUCGCCGCAAGAGGGCGAUGGCGAGGGAGGCUGCGAAGGAGGCUGCGAAGGGGGCGAUGGCGAUGGUGAAGGAGCCAGUGCCUGCUGUGGAAGACGUCGUCAGUUCAGCUCGAGCAGAAGCGGAUCCUGUGAAGUUGGGGUGGGCACCUGAUUCCCCGCAAUGUCGUAAGUGAUGAUCCCGGAGAAUGAAAGCGGCCGACACCGCCUGCCUCUCGAGAUGGUGCGCUGCCACAGAGCGCCGGGAUCUGCUUGCUCAAAAUAAUCCCUCACCUCGUCUGAUAAUAGUUCUUGAGAGGAGCAGCUGUCGUAGCUACUCCCCGAGGAACCGCUCGUCGUGCUCCUCGGCGUCCGUUCGCAGUCCUCCUCGGCUGCUGGACUCUUCAGCAUAUGACCUCGCACGGCGCACAUCCCCAUUGCUACCCGAUUCCGCCUUAGUCCCUCACUCACAGUCUCGACAAUGGAACGUGCCACCCAAAUCCUAAGCGAUUUCACUCAUUGAGUGUACAUCGCCUGUACCGACCCGGCAAGGAUGGCACACGGCAAAAAACAUACCAAGCUUGAUGUGUCAAGAGACUAUUUUGCUACCGACUGUGGUACCAGACGAGAGAGAAUUAGAGAGGACAACGACCCACCCGCACGCCGGUACUUGCAGACAGUGCAAGGGAAAGAACAGCUCACAUGGAUUCAUUGUUUUGCGGUCAGGUUUUCGCAGUACUGAGAGUGUUGUGAUUGCACUGAGACCCUCAGCACCGCCCUUAAGUUGUACCGAUCUUCACUGUUUCAGGUUCUCGCCCCAGAGCAAGUCCGAGAAUCUCUCAUAUGGCGGAAAUAAACGAAUGGUAUAUUUACUGUACAAAACUGUCCACUUUCGGCUAAAU
rnacentral:lncRNA from 1 species